rnacentral:lncRNA from 1 species
AUGGUAGAGGUGAGACUGGGCCUGUGCUGCUUCCUCUCUAAACUGGAGCAGCUAAGCAGAGCAGGAGAGACUUACAUGCAGUGGAGAGACUCAGAGUGCAGUAGACAGACUCAGUGUGCAGUGGAGAGAUUCAGUGUGCAGUGGAGAAACUCAUGGGCAGUGGAGAGAUUUGUGGGCAGUGGAGAGACUCAGUGUGCAGUGGAGAUAGUGUACAGAGGAGAGAGUCAUGUGCAGUGGGGAGACUCAUGUGCAGUGGGGAGACUCAUGUGCAGUGGAGAGACUCAUGUGCAGUGGAAAGACUCAUGUGAACUGGAGAGACUCAUGUGCACUGGAGAGACUCAUGUGCAGUGGGGAGACUCAUGCAGUGGGGAGACUCAGUGUGCAGUGGAGAUAGUGUACAGAGGAGAGAGUCAUGUGCAGUGGGGAGACUCAUGUGCAGUGGGGAGACUCAUGUGCAGUGGAGAGACUCAUGUGCAGUGGAAAGACUCAUGUGAACUGGAGAGACUCAUGUGCACUGGAGAGACUCAUGUGCAGUGGGGAGACUCAUGUGCAGUGGGGAGACUCAUGUGCAGUGGGGAGACUCAUGUGCAGUGGGGAGACUCAUGUGCAGUGGGGAGACUCAUGUGCAGUGGGGAAACUCAUGUGCAGUGGGGAGACUCAUGUGCAGUGGGGAGACUCAUGUGCAGUGGAGAGACUCAUGUGCAGUGGAAAGACUCAUGUGAACUGGAGAGACUCAUGUGCACUGGAGAGACUCAUGUGCAGUGGGGAGACUCAUGCAGUGGAGAGACUCAGUGUGCAGUGGAGAUAGUGUACAGAGGAGAGAGUCAUGUGCAGUGGGGAGACUCAUGUGCAGUGGGGAGACUCAUGUGCAGUGGAGAGACUCAUGUGCAGUGGAAAGACUCAUGUGAACUGGAGAGACUCAUGUGCACUGGAGAGACUCAUGUGCAGUGGGGAGACUCAUGCAGUGGGGAGACUCAUGUGCAGUGGGGAGACUCAUGUGCAGUGGGGAGACUCAUGUGCAGUGGGGAGACUCAUGUGCAGUGGGGAAACUCAUGUGCAGUGGGGAGACUCAUGUGCAGUGGGGAGACUCAUGUGCAGUGGGGAGACUCAUGUGCAGUGGGGAGACUCAUGUGCAGUGGGGAGACUCAUGUGCAGUGGAGAGACUCAUGUGCGGUGGGGAGACUCAUGUGCACUGGGGAGACUCAUGUGCACUGGGGAGACUCAUGUGCAGUGAGGAGACUCGUGCAGUGGGGAGACUCAUGUGCACUGGAGAGACUCGUGUGCAGUGGGGAGACUCAUGUGCAGUGGGGAGACUCAUGUGCACUGGGGAGACUCAUGUGCAGUGGGGAGACUCAUGUGCAGUGGGGAGACUCAUGUGCACUGGGGAGACUCAUGUGCAGUGGGGAGACUCAUGUGCAGUGGGGAGACUCAUGUGCACUGGAGAGACUCAUGUGCAGUGGAGAGACUCAUGUGCACUGGGGAGACUCGUGUGCAGUGGGGAGACUGAGCCUCCCGUGCAGCAGGCUCUCCACCUUGUCUAAUGGCUAA